AGGGCAGAGUGAGGGAGGAAGGGAGGGCAGAGGGAGGGAGGGAGGUAGGAAGGGCAGAGGGAGGGAGGUAGGGAGGGCAGAGGGAGGGAGGUAGGAAGGGUAGAGGGAGGGAGGUAGGAAGGGCAGAGGGAGGGAGGAAGGGAGGGCAGAGGGAGGGAGGAAGGGAGGGCAGAGGGAGGGAGGAAGGGAGGGCAAAGGGAGGGAGGAAGGGAGGGCAGAGGGAGGGAGGUAGGGAGGGCAGAGGUAGGGAGGGCAGAGGGAGGGAGGUAGGGAGGGCAGAGGGAGGGAGGUAGGGAGGGCAGAGGGAGAGAGGUAGGAAGG
ensembl:lncRNA